UGGUGGAGUGAUUUGUCUGGUUAAUUCCGUUAACGAACGAGGCCUUAACCUGCUAAAUAGUAACGUCCACUUUUGUGGGCGGGUUCACUUCUUAGAGGGACUCUGCGCGUCUAACGCAAGGAAGUUUGAGGCAAUAACA
rnacentral:rRNA from 1 species